UGGGGAAUUUUGGACAAUGGGCGAAAGCCUGAUCCAGCAAUGCCGCGUGUGUGAAGAAGGCCUUCGGGUUGUAAAGCACUUUUGUCCGGAAAGAAAUCCUUGGCUCUAAUACAGUCGGGGGAUGACGGUACCGGAAGAAUAAGCACCGGCUAACUACGUGCCAGCAGCCGCGGUAAUACGUAGGGUGCAAGCGUUAAUCGGAAUUACUGGGCGUAAAGCGUGCGCAGGCGGUUUGCUAAGACCGAUGUGAAAUCCCCGGGCUCAACCUGGGAACUGCAUUGGUGACUGGCAGGCUAGAGUAUGGCAGAGGGGGGUAGAAUUCCACGUGUAGCAAUGAAAUGCGUAGAGAUGUGGAGGAAUACCGAUGGCGAAGGCAGCCCCCUGGGCCAAUACUGACGCUCAUGCACGAAAGCGUGGGGAGCAAACAGGAUUAGAUACCCUGGUAGUCCACGCCCUAAAACGAUGUCAACUAGUUGUUGGGGAUUCAUUUCCUUAGUAACGUAGCUAACGCGUGAAGUUGACCGCCUGGGGAGUACGGUCGCAAGAUUAAAACUCAAAGGAAUUGACGGGGUCAUAGCUGUUUCCU
rnacentral:rRNA from 1 species